rnacentral:lncRNA from 1 species
AUCAUUCACCCCCUCCCAAGGAUUUUAAUUGGCCCCAUAGGCUCAGUUAUCAUUGCAACAACCUCGAUGUACUGUGGGAGCCGCCUUUCACCCGCCACAGCCAUGGGAAAUGCACCAGUCAUCUCCAUCCACGAGGUGCUUCAUCACCAGGGGGGCACUGGCAGGGCUUGGUGUCCCCUCGAUGUGACAGAGACUCCACUGUCUCCUCUGGAACAGAGAGAAAAGAGAUAACACAGCCCUGUCCAUCCACACCGGGGCAGGAUGUUUUUAUAAAUACAGCACAGGGGCUUUUCCCAUUCCCUGUAUCCAUCUCUACCCCCCUUUCCUAAAACACCCCCAGGCUGGCCAUCCUGUGGGGCUGCAGGGGUGAGGAGGCGGUUCAGACCCUCCUACACCAGGAGCAAUCUCUGUGUUAUCCCCUUCACCUGUGCCUCAUUGCUCCCAGGUGUUCAUCGUUAGCUGUGCUGGGUUAAAACCCUCCUGGGCAGAGAAGGUUCUGCUUUUUGUUCCAGCAAGGCUCUGCUCUGGUGUGUGUUUGCUUCUCCUCAUCCCAUCCAGCUCCGUUCCUCAGCGGUGGCUCUGGUUCUCCUGCAUGCAAGGCUCCUCCAGCAAUGACCAAGGAGCCGUUAUUUACACAUGCAAGUGCUGGCAGUGUGUGUGGGAGCUUCCUCGCCUGCUCCUGGACCCACAUGGAAUAUAAAUGACCACGUUUCUCCUUGGUAGCAGCGGCUCCAUCUGAGGGCUAUCUUCCCUGCAUGUUAACUGUUAAUUAUAGGUUACAUUUAUAUCAUUAAGGUUUAUCUGCAGUCCUUUCCUUCCCCCUGUUAAAUCACUAAUGCAUCUUGCACGGCUUAAUUCUCUCGCUUUCACCUCCUUGUCUGAGCAGGGGGUGGCAGCUGCAAUGGGGGGAUGCCUGUGGUAACGGGAGCAGGGCUGGGAUCAUGGAAUCCAAAUUCUCUGGGUGGCUCUGGACCCUAAAGACUGAGUUCCAACCUCCUGCCACAGGCAGGGAUGGCACCCACUCGACCAGGAUGCUCAAAGCCCCGUCCAAGCCAGCACUGAGCGCUUCCAGAGAUCUUGGGGGAUGACCCAACGUAGCCAAACGCUUGGUGGGACGUGGCACUGAUGCUCUUGGUCAUUUCCACCAUGGGGAAGUGCCAAGAGAUGCUCUGAGAGAGGAAAAACGUUCUGCAUGGCUCAGGCUUCGGUGGGAGCCCUGCUGGGGAGCUGGGAAAGCUCUUGCUUUCCUUCUUAAUGAAGAGGUGAUUCCUAGGCCUGGGAACGUGCCUGACUCUGGCAGAUUAUUCAAUAAGCAGCUGGGGAAGAUGCCUCGGGGGAUGCAGGGCUCCUCUCUCCCCCCAGCUGCAAUUAAGCUCUUGUCAG